AUUGAAUGAUUAUAUCUAUUCCAUUAAAAGUCUAUAACAUUCCAUGUUUUGAACACACAAAACAAAUUAAUUAAGCAAAUACACACACACACACACACACACAGAACUCUGAUUUCUGUUCACAACAAGUGAUGAGCAUAUUGGUAAAUAUCCCAAUAGAUUGCUAGUGAAUCUGACUUCCUCCUUACUUACUGCAUGCAGAUAAUAAGCACGUCAUAAUUACAGUUUAUGAAGGUCUCACUCCUGUCAUUAUCUAGAAUCAGGUGAGAAGUUUGCCUCUUCUUCUUUUCCUUUUCUUUGUUAGAACAUCAAAUGUGUGCCACUAACAAAAUUUGUCAAUUGGGCAAAAAUGUCAUUACAUCUUCACAUACUUACCCAACCAAGAUAGAAAGUACAUUUACAACUUCCCAGAGAAAAGCAGUCCCAGCGGAAUAAGUUAUCCUUCCAUGAGUUUUAUGAAUUGGAGGUCUGCAAAAGCAUCCCUUUUUCUUUUAAAUAAUGGUAAAAGACAAACCACUGGAAUAGGUCUAGACAUGUUGAAGUAUUCCCCGCUUGUUAAUUUGUUGACAAAAUGAAAAAUAAAAUAGGACAGGACAGGCCACAGCCUCCGAAUUAAAAGAGCUAAAAUUUAAGAGACAUUGGAAAAAAUGAGUGCACUGCUAAACUUGACCCUUUGAACUCUGGAGAACAAGCAAGGUGCACCACGAAAGAAUCUUUUGGCUUUCAUCUUUUGCAUUUCCCACACAAAUAGAACUCACAUAUCUCCUUUUCAUCUAAAUAAUUCGUGAGUUAGAAAUAAAAACUUAUUUUUCUUACCAGGACAUGGUUACUCUAGAACAAUCCAGUAGACCAUAUCUUCCAAAACCCACAGAAUGGAGAUACGAAACUUUAAUUUCGCUAAAUGAAUUCAGAAUUCUUUCACCAAUGGAAAGUUUAAGGUGUAAGAUCUCUUGGUGAUUUUGACUUGCAAAAAAAAAAAAACACCAUUUUUCCAAGGACAUAUGAAUUUUGUCUUGGGAGUAAUGAAUAAA